rnacentral:rRNA from 1 species
AUUGAACGCUGGCGGCAGGCCUAACACAUGCAAGUCGAGCGGAUGAAGGGAGCUUGCUCCUGGAUUCAGCGGCGGACGGGUGAGUAAUGCCUAGGAAUCUGCCUGGUAGUGGGGGAUAACGUCCGGAAACGGGCGCUAAUACCGCAUACGUCCUGAGGGAGAAAGUGGGGGAUCUUCGGACCUCACGCUAUCAGAUGAGCCUAGGUCGGAUUAGCUAGUUGGUGGGGUAAAGGCCUACCAAGGCGACGAUCCGUAACUGGUCUGAGAGGAUGAUCAGUCACACUGGAACGGAGACACGGUCCAGACUCCUACGGGAGGCAGCAGUGGGGAAUAUUGGACAAUGGGCGAAAGCCUGAUCCAGCCAUGCCGCGUGUGUGGAGAAGGUCUUCGGAUUGUAAAGCACUUUAAGUUGGGAGGAAGGGCAGUAAGUUAAUACCUUGCUGUUUUGACGUUACCAACAGAAUAAGCACCGGCUAACUUCGUG